GUGCUUGUUUCCGCAGUGCAUGUAAUAAAAUUGGAAAGAUACAGAGAAGAUUAGCAUAGCCUCUGCGCAAGGAGGACACACAAAUUCGUGAAGUGUUCCAUAUUUAA
rnacentral:snRNA from 1 species